AACGAACGCUGGCGGCAGGCUUAACACAUGCAAGUCGAGCGCCCCGCAAGGGGAGCGGCAGACGGGUGAGUAACGCGUGGGAAUCUACCUAUCUCUACGGAACAACUCCGGGAAACUGGAGCUAAUACCGUAUACGCCCUUCGGGGGAAAGAUUUAUCGGGGAUAGAUGAGCCCGCGUUGGAUUAGCUAGUUGGUGGGGUAAUGGCCUACCAAGGCGACGAUCCAUAGCUGGUCUGAGAGGAUGAUCAGCCACACUGGGACUGAGACACGGCCCAGACUCCUACGGGAGGCAGCAGUGGGGAAUAUUGGACAAUGGGCGAAAGCCUGAUCCAGCCAUGCCGCGUGAGUGAUGAAGGCCCUAGGGUUGUAAAGCUCUUUCACCGGUGAAGAUAAUGACGGUAACCGGAGAAGAAGCCCCGGCUAACUUCGUGCCAGCCGCCGCGGUAA
rnacentral:rRNA from 1 species